rnacentral:rRNA from 1 species
UACGUAGGCAGCAAGCGUUGUUCGGAGUUACUGGGCGUAAAGCGUGCGCAGGCGGUUGUGCAAGACAGAUGUGAAAUCCCCGGGCUUAACCUGGGAAUUGCAUUUGUGACUGCACGGCUAGAGUGUGUCAGAGGGGGGUAGAAUUCCACGUGUAGCAGUGAAAUGCGUAGAUAUGUGGAGGAAUACCGAUGGCGAAGGCAGCCCCCUGGGAUAACACUGACGCUCAUGCACGAAAGCGUGGGGAGCAAACAGG